rnacentral:rRNA from 1 species
UACGGAGGGUGCUAGCGUUGUUCGGAAUCACUGGGCGUAAAGCGCGUGUAGGCGGCCUCCCAAGUCUGAUGUGAAAGCCCGGGGCUCACCCCCGGAAGUGCAUUGGAAACUGUGAGGCUCGAGUCCCGGAGAGGAGAGUGGAAUUCCUGGUGUAGCGGUGAAAUGCGUAGAUAUCAGGAGGAACACCGGUGGCGAAGGCGGCUCUCUGGACGGUGACCGACGCUGAGACGCGAAAGCGUGGGGAGCAAACAGG